GCCUUCGUGGUGUAGUGGUCAGCACGCUUCACGCGUAACCGAGAGUACCGUGGUUCGAUUCCCGGCGAAGGCG
rfam:Stegodyphus mimosarum contig128619, whole genome shotgun sequence.